AGCGCAGGCGGGAAGACAAGUUGGAAGUGAAAACCAUGGGCUCAACCCAUGAAUUGCUUUCAAAACUGUUUUUCUUGAGUAGUGCAGAGGUAGAUGGAAUUCCCGGUGUAGCGGUGGAAUGUGUAGAUAUCGGGAAGAACACCAAUGGCGAAGGCAGGUCUCUGGGCCGUUACUGACGCUGAGGAGCGAAAGCGUGGGGAGCGAACA
rnacentral:rRNA from 1 species